UUGGCAAGGCAGGACCAGACGACGCAAAUUACAUUGGGAGACACUGUUGUGAAUUUGUGGUGCCUCGCGUCGUUUAGCUGGUGUGGCCCGAAGGAUGUGGUGGUACAGAAAAUGCGAGGGUCGUCAAGUGUUGUGUACAUUACUCAGAUACAGCGUGCGCUGUUUACAGAACUCAAAAAUGCCUGCCGAGGUGACCACGCGUCGUGGUCUGGCAGGACAAGGCGAAUAAGAAGUGGACUGCAUGACUCCACGUUCGUCGCAAGUAAGUCUUCACCCCGCCACAUGUUCGGAGAAGACGAAGACCAUAGGUUGCCAAGUAAAGCUUCAAAGGUGCAGAAGGAUGAGGUGACAUGCAUACAUGAAGUGAAGAAAACGACACAGC